GUACACACCGCCCGUCACACCACGGGAGUUGGAGACGCCCGAAGCCGAUUAUCUAACCUUUUGGAAGAAGUCGUCGAAGGUGGAAUCAAUAACUGGGGUGAAGUCGUAACAAGGUAGCCGUAUCGGAAGGUGCGGCUGGAUCACCUCCUUUCUAAGGAGAAUU
rnacentral:rRNA from 1 species